CCGAGUUUACAACUCCCAAACCCCAAUGUGAACGUUACCAAACUGUUGCCUCGGCGGGAUUUCUGCCCCGGGCGCGUCGCAGCCCCGGACCAAGGCGCCCGCCGGAGGACCAAACCUUACAAACUCUUAUUGUAUUACCCCCUCUGCGGGACUUCUUUUUAUAAUUCUGAGCCUUUCUCGGCGCCUCCUAGCUAGGCGUUUCGAAAAUGAAUCA
rnacentral:misc_RNA from 1 species